CUCCUGCGGGAGGCAGCAGUGGGGAAUUUUGGACAAUGGGCGAAAGCCUGAUCCAGCAAUGCCGCGUGUGUGAAGAAGGCCUUCGGGUUGUAAAGCACUUUUUUCCGGAAAGAAAUCCUUGGCUCUAAUACAGUCGGGGGAUGACGGUACCGGAAGAAUAAGCACCGGCUAACUACGUGCCAGCAGCCGCGGUAAUACGUAGGGUGCGAGCGUUAAUCGGAAUUACUGGGCGUAAAGCGUGCGCAGGCGGUUUGCUAAGACCGAUGUGAAAUCCCCGGGCUCAACCUGGGAACUGCAUUGGUGACUGGCAGGCUAGAGUAUGGCAGAGGGGGGUAGAAUUCCACGUGUAGCAGUGAAAUGCGUAGAGAUGUGGAGGAAUACCGAUGGCGAAGGCAGCCCCCUGGGCCAAUACUGACGCUCAUGCACGAAAGCGUGGGGAGCAAACAGGAUUAGAAACCCUUGUAGUCCCA
rnacentral:rRNA from 1 species